GACGAACGCUGGCGGCGUGCUUAACACAUGCAAGUCGAACGGAAAGGCCCUGCUUGCCGGGUACUCGAGUGGCGAACGGGUGAGUAACACGUGGGUGAUCUGCCCUGCACUUCGGGAUAAGCUUGGGAAACUGGGUCUAAUACCGGAUAGGAGCCAUCUUUAGUGUGGUGGUUGGAAAGUUUUUUCGGUGUAGGAUGAGCUCGCGGCCUAUCAGCUUGUUGGUGGGGUAAUGGCCUACCAAGGCGGCGACGGGUAGCCGGCCUGAGAGGGUGUACGGCCACAUUGGGACUGAGAGACGGGCCAGACUCCGACGGGAGGCAGCAGGGGGGAAUAUUGCACAAUGGGCGCAAGCCUGAGGCAGCGACGCCGCGUGGGGGAUGAAGGCCUUCGGGUUGUAAACUCCUUUCGCUAGGGAAGAAGCUUUGUUGUGACGGUACCUAGAGAAGAAGCACCGGCUAACUACGUG
rnacentral:rRNA from 1 species